rnacentral:rRNA from 1 species
GACGAACGCUGGCGGCGUGCUUAACACAUGCAAGUCGAGCGGUAAGGCCCUUCGGGGUACACGAGCGGCGAACGGGUGAGUAACACGUGGGUGACCUGCCUCUAGCUCUGGGAUAAGCCUGGGAAACUGGGUCUAAUACCGGAUAUGACUCCAUGACGCAUGUUGUGGGGUGGAAAGCCUUGUGCGGCUGAGGAUGGGCCCGCGGCCUAUCAGCUUGUUGGUGGGGGAUGGCCUACCAAGGCGACGACGGGUAGCCGGCCUGAGAGGGCGACCGGCCACACUGGGACUGAGACACGGCCCAGACUCCUACGGGAGGCAGCAGUGGGGAAUCUUGCGCAAUGGGCGAAAGCCUGACGCAGCGACGCCGCGUGAGGGAUGACGGCCUGGUGU